UACGGAGGGGGCAAGCGUUGUUCGGAGUUACUGGGCGUAAAGGGCGCGUAGGCGGUGCAGCAAGUCAGGCGUGAAAGCCCCGGGCUUAACCUGGGAAUUGCGCUUGAUACUGCUGCGCUAGAGAUCGGGAGAGGAUGGCGGAAUUCCCAGUGUAGAGGUGAAAUUCGUAGAUAUUGGGAAGAACACCGGUGGCGAAGGCGGCCAUCUGGACCGCAUCUGACGCUGAGGCGCGAAAGCGUGGGGAGCAAACAGG
rnacentral:rRNA from 1 species